rnacentral:misc_RNA from 1 species
GAUGAAGAACGCAGCGAAAUGCGAUAAGUAGUGUGAAUUGCAGAAUUCAGUGAAUCAUCGAAUCUUUGAACGCACAUUGCGCCCCUUGGUAUUCCAUGGGGCAUGCCUGUUCGAGCGUCAUUUGUACCUUCAAGCUUUGCUUGGUGUUGGGUGUUUGUCUCGCCUUUGCGUGUAGACUCGCCUUAAAAUAAUUGGCAGCCGGCGUAUUGAUUUCGGAGCGCAGUACAUCUCGCGCUUUGCACUCAUAACGACAGCGUCCAAAAGUACAUUUUACACUCUUGACCUCGGAUCAGGUGGGGAUACCCGCUGAACUUAAGCAUAUCAAUAAGCGGAGGA